rnacentral:tRNA from 1 species
AUCGGCCGGGAAUCGAACCCGGGGCGCCCGCAUGGCAGGCGAGCAUUCUACCACUGAACCAA